AUUGAACGCUGGCGGCAGGCUUAACACAUGCAAGUCGAACGAGCGGCGGACGGGUGAGUGAUGACUGGACAACUGCCUGAUGGAGGGGGAUAACUACUGGAAAAGGUAGCUAAUCCCGCAUACCAUCAGAUGUGCCCCGAUGGGAUUAGCUAGUAGGUGGGGUAAUGGCUCACCUAGGCGACGAUGCCUAGCUGGUCUGAGAGGCUGACCAGCCACACUGGAACUGAGACACGGUCCAGACUCCUACGGGAGGCAGCAGUGGGGAAUAUUGCACAAUGGGCGCAAGCCUGACGCAGCCACGCCGCGUGUAUGAAGAAGGCCUUCGGGUUGUAAAGUACUUUCAGCGGGGAGGCGUUACCCGCAGAAGAAGCACCGGCUAACUCCGUGCCAGCAGCCGCGGUAAUAC
rnacentral:rRNA from 1 species